rnacentral:tRNA from 1 species
GGGACGGUAGCUCAGUGGUAGAGUGCUUGCCUUGCAUGCAUGAGGUCCUGGGUUCAAUUCCUCAGCACCA